GACGAACGCUGGCGGCGUGCUUAACACAUGCAAGUCGAACGGAAAGGCCCUGCUUGCAGGGUGCUCGAGUGGCGAACGGGUGAGUAACACGUGGGUGAUCUGCCCCUUACUUUGGGAUAAGCCUGGGAAACUGGGUCUAAUACUGGAUAGGACCAUGCUGUAGGUGGUGUGGUGGAAAGAUUAGUUUCGGUAAGGGAUGAGCUCGCGGCCUAUCAGCUUGUUGGUGGGGUAAUGGCCUACCAAGGCGUCGACGGGUAGCCGGCCUGAGAGGGUGGACGGCCACAUUGGGACUGGGAUACGGCCCAGACUCCUACGGGAGGCAGCAGUGGGGAAUAGUGCACAAUGGGCGCAAGCCUGAUGCAGCGACGCCGCGUGGGGGAUGACGGCCUUCGGGUUGUAAACUCCUUUCAGCCAUGACGAAGCCCUUGUGGUGACGGUAGUGGUAGAAGAAGCACCGGCUAACUACGUG
rnacentral:rRNA from 1 species